GGGCCUGUACCGGUUUCGACGGGGAUUUUGAAGUAUGAUAAGCGCGGCAAGCCGGGUAAUCUUGUCAACUGCCCAACCUUAAAAUUAAACGACGAAGACAAAAAAGAACUCGCCAUGGCUGCCUAACGGCAGUGCCGCGGCUUUUCAGCCGCCCGUCCGCCCCUUGAGUAUCACGGCAAGGGCUCGGGCGUAACGCAGUGAUGAACGUGAGCGGAGAUUUCGCACUUGUAUCCGCCAUGAAUAAAAGGGCUACCCGACGGCUCUGCUGUUUGUCUCAGCGCAGGAGGGGAAUUUAAGAGAUAAACUGUCCGCGGAGAAGGUCAUAGGGAGAGAUUUUCGGACACGGGUUCGACUCCCGCCAGGUCCACCA
rnacentral:tmRNA from 1 species